CUAUUUUUGGAGAAGUCUUCAAAAUGCAUGAAUUAUUUUUGCAAUUUGCGGGCAAUUGAAUUGGUUUUAAACAUAAGGUGAUAAUAAGAUUAGGAGAUGGCGAUUUCAAUAAUAAAACAAAGAAUAGUGUAUUUGUAGGAAUGAAAUACGUCUGAUAUUGUCUAUCAAUUAUGUAAUUAAUAUUGUAUUUUCAUGAGUACUUCCGUCAAAUCCAGAUGUUGUUGUUUUUAUUUAAGAGUAAAAUUGAAACAAAAUUGAUAAUAAGUG